AUUGAACGCUGGCGGCAGGCCUAACACAUGCAAGUCGAACGAGCGGCGGACGGGUGAGUAAUGUAUGGGGAUCUGCCCGAUGGAGGGGGAUAACUACUGGAAACGGUAGCUAAUACCGCAUACCAUCGGAUGAACCCAUAUGGGAUUAGCUAGUAGGUGGGGUAACGGCUCACCUAGGCGACGAUCCCUAGCUGGUCUGAGAGGAUGAUCAGCCACACUGGGACUGAGACACGGGCCAGACUCCUACGGGAGGCAGCAGUGGGGAAUAUUGCACAAUGGGCGCAAGCCUGAUGCAGCCAUGCCGCGUGUAUGAAGAAGGCCUUCGGGUUGUAAAGUACUUUCAGCGGGGAGGCGUUACCCGCAGAAGAAGCACCGGCUAACUCCGUGCCAGCAGCCGCGGUAAUUC
rnacentral:rRNA from 1 species